GAUGUAAACGCCAUCGGUUGGUGGACUCGUGAAGGAAGUUUCCUUAAGUACAAUGAAAUCGUACACCAGCAGAUCGAUAGGAAUUUUAUAUUUGCGAGCAAAGUUCUGGGAAGCCCCGGUCAGAAAUGCUUGGGUGAAGUAAAAGCCUGAGAGCCAAAAAGUCGUCGGAGGUCCCUUGUCGAACCAUUUCUAAAACAAAAAAAAAAUGUAACAAAGAUGCGAGGAAAGAGAACUGACCUUGAGACUAAUAUUCAUGAGUCUCAAGAUCAGUUUUUGAAAUCUCGAACCAACAAAUAUGGAGAGUUGCAAAAACUGUGGAUCUGUUUCGAGGAAGCCUUCGUAAUUUCAAUUAACAUUCCUCAUUGCAACGUGCCUGAAAAAAUUUCAAUCGUUCGACAAAAUCGUUGAUGUAGCUUCCUAGAGGUUUGAGGGAUGGAUAAGAAUUUUUCAUCCACAACGAGGAGAUUUUCCCUGUGAGAAUCGCACUGGCAACUUCUUCCAGUUCGACAGACAUCACGAUGAGUCCUUGAAUCAAUUCAUAGAGCCUCGUGCAAAUCGUAGUCGUUGAAUAACUUGCUGAGAAUAUCCGCAGCUACGUUGAAUAUUAUAUCGUCUGAUGAAACACUGCCAGCUCCAGAUUUUCCAGCUUCCUACGGUUUACAUGUGGGAAAAUGAUUGCAAAAAUCUGCAAUUAAGUGUUGACAACUCAAGCAGCAGGUACCUUCGAUUCCCAUAGAUCCUGAGCAGUUGAAAAUGCAGCAGUAACAAUUGAAAUAGAAUGAGUUUGAAGAACAAAAAAUUGAUUGAUUGGUAAUGCAGAAAUUAGAGUGGAAAGACAUUGAAGAAAAUUGGAUGCAGAAAUGAGGAGAAGUAAAAAAGUUUGAACCAGAAAAGAAGCCUACCUGGGACGCUGAUGCGGAGAUCCGUCUCGUUGAACUCGUACGGCGUGUUCCAACCGAUGGGACCAAAUUUCCUUCUUUCCUGAACGAUCGCAUGGAAGAAGCACAAACAAUAAAGAAGCUUCUUGAAGGUGUUGGUCUGCUUGCAAGACUCGAAGAACUCGGAAUCACUUAUCGGAUCGCUCAGAUACGACCUGAGGAUAUUGGCCCGCAGUCCUUUCGGCGGCUCGUUCGUCAUCUUUAUGCCGUUCUGGAGAACGCUCACUGGAAAAUGGUCCGCCGGAUAGCUCGUGAGCCAGAGACGGAAAUCAGGAUGAUUCGUAUCCGGCAUAAGACCUUCGCAUAUCUUCUCCAACGUUCCCAUCCAGCUUUUGGCUAAAUGGCAGUUUUGUAAAACCACCCAAUUUCCGUAUUUCACACCCUCGUUUAUCAGCUUCACCGCUAUUGGGCCUUGCCCUGAAAAUAAUUGGAAAUAAACAGGAAAAAGGUGGAAAGAAAAUGGGCAAAUGGUUUCGUCUCAGCGAGCUUUGGGUCCGACCAUCAUUGACCGAUAUUACACUCCAAAAUUCACCAAGUUUUUUCGUUGAUCUUGAUGAAGAAACAAGUCAAAGUUACGAUGCCAUUGAACAAAAACUGGACGGUACCUUGGCCAAGAGACAGCGAGAACAACCGAUUGGCACCGAAGCCUUGUUCAUCAGCGAAGUUGAGAAGAACUUGGGUCGGGUCUGCCCCCGGGGUCAGGAUGAAUAUCAACGGAAUACAGUUGUUCGAAUCAGCGUAGGAAGCGUUGAGAUCGAAGGGUGGAGGGUCCACGUACUGCGACCCGAGUUCAGCUGGGCGACGUCAAAACGCACAUAUAACAUUGUUUGAAGGAUAUAGAAACGUCGUAACAAUAUGAGGGCACUUACAUUCGACAAAGCUUUGAACAGCUGGAAUGACCUUGUCGGGCCGAAUGCAUCGGAGGACCAUCAAUCUCUGGAAUUUCGAUCCAGUCGGCGGAAACUCACUUCGAAUCCUGCUAUCGCGUUCAAACGACAAAGCUCGUCCCAGAGCUUAACCGGAAGCCAUGCAGUCGGAUUUGGAAACGGAUUGUCCAGUCCCACGCCUCCAGUCAACAGAAACAUCCAGUGAGAUGAAACCAGCGCUCCUUUUUGGUCGAGCAAAUUGAUCGCGAGCAACAUCGAAAACAGGAGCUUGUCCUUCUCAAAAAUCGAUCUGCAUAUGUUGACGUAGAGCGAGUACGUGAAAUUUUUCGUCAUUUCGUCGAGACGGACAUCGAAAUUUUCCAUCUGCACCGUUUUGUCUAUCGCUAGUUUGAACAGAUUGACGAACCAGGCCAAAGAGUACUGGUACAUCGGAUCUAUGUUGGCUAGGACGGCUGGAGAACGCGUUGAAAGUGAUGCAACUUGCAUCCGGACGCUCUUUCGCAACGACUAUACCAAGCAGCUGGUCCUCCAGGCCACUGGGCGUUAUCAUAAAAUUCAGCAAUGUCACUUUCACCGCGAUUUCUGGCAUGUAAUGAGGAUUUCUCAGCUUCGUCGUGAUGUAGAAUCUGUCGACAAUCAACAGCAAGAGUUUCCGGUUGAAAAGGAGUAAAACGACACCCAUUUUGUUCGACAAGAUUCGUUGA